rnacentral:ncRNA from 2 species
UGAUAGCUGAGAAGCGGAGGUUGCUGCGUACAUAUAUGACGCAGGUUUUUCGUGGAGCGAAUGUCAAUUUACAAAACUGGCGACAA